UCCUUAGUUGCUAGCAGGUAAUGGUGAGAACUCUAGGACACCGCCGGUGAUAAACCGGAGGAAGGUGGGGACGACGUCAAGUCAUCAUGGCCCUUACGUGUAGGGCUACACACGUGCUACAAUGGCGCACACAGAGUGCUGCGAACUCGCGAGAGUAAGCGAAUCACUUAAAGUGCGUCGUAGUCCGGAUUGGAGUCUGCAACUCGACUCCUGAAGUCGGAAUCGCUAGUAAUCGCGUAUCAAAAUGACGCGGUGAAUACGUUCCCGGGCCUUGUACACACCGCCCGU
rnacentral:rRNA from 1 species